CGCGCACGCGCACUCGGGCCGCACGCACUGGCCCCGACGCACGUCCGUGGCCCCGCCCCCGCCCCCGCCCCCGCCCCGCCCCGCGCCGCGCCGCGCUUCCCGUCGGACCAGUUUCGGAAAGCGUCCGCCUGGGGUCUGUGAGUCACUGAGGUCGGCAGUGGGACUGCGUGCGUGUGAACCCAGACUGCCUUCUUCCUGCUGCAGGAAGCCGGAGGGAAUCAGCCCAUUUACGCCCUACCAGACUAGAAGAGAGCAGAAAAGUGGCAGCAGAGCACAGCACGUGAGAUUGGAGCAGUCCUCUCUUGGGAGAGACAGCACCAGAACUUUGCAUGGAACCUGAAUGAGCUGGUGGUUCGUGAACAGAGCUGUAUCAAUGCCAAUGCCCUGGCUUCACCAUCACAACAUAAAGACCCUAGAUACUAACCCUGGAGAAGUACUUGGGAAUUGUUUCUACUGCUUCGCUUUGCAACUUUAAGUCCAAAGUCAUUUCAAAAUAAAAAGUUUUAAGAGUUAAAAAAAAAGUAAACCCCUUUUUAGUAGUAAUGAUUACUUUGGCAAAGUAACAACAACAAACUAAAAAAUAAUGGUAAACCUUUAAGUUGGAAACAGUGAGUAGAGAACAAGUCUUAUUGAGAGGAAGGUAGAUAUUGAUUAAUUUUAGGCAUUUUAAGUCCAUAUUAAAAUGUUAAGGGCAGCUCUUCCUGUUACCUUUUGAACGAUUCAGGCUUCAAGCCAUUGGGUGGAGCAGAUCACAUAUUAGCCGUGAAGGAGAGGACUAGUGGCCCAGAGUGGAAUAUUUCUUUUAUUCUCUACUCUAUCCUCAGUGUCUGAUAUGUGUUCAGUAAAUAUUUGUGGAAUAGAUGGAUACAUAAAUGAAUGGCUUACUCUCUCACUCCCUUCUGGACUCUGAUCAAAUGUCAUUUCUCAGGGAGGCCUUCCUAACCACCCUAUAUAAAACACACCCUCAUUCUGUCCAUCUCCCCUACUCUGCUUCAUCUUUUCUUCACACUACUUGAUACCACCAAACCUAUCUUAUACUUAAAUGUUAAUCAUCUGUCUUCCCCCACUAGAAGGUAGCUCCUUGAAGAUAAGGAUUUGAACUAUUUUGUCAAUAACUACAUGCUUAAAC
rnacentral:lncRNA from 1 species